rnacentral:snRNA from 1 species
GUGCUCGCUUUGGCAGCACAUAUACUAAAAUUGGAACGAUACAGAGAAGAUUAGCAAGGAUGACACGCAAAUUCGUGAAGAGUUCCAUAUUAAA